ACUCCUACGGGAGGCAGCAGUAGGGAAUCUUCCACAAUGGGCGAAAGCCUGAUGGAGCAACGCCGCGUGGGUGAAGAAGGUCUUCGGAUCGUAAAACCCUGUUGUUAGAGAAGAAAGUGCGUGAGAGUAACCGUUCACGUUUCGACGGUAUCUAACCAGAAAGCCACGGCUAACUACGUGCCAGCAGCCGCGGUAAUACGUAGGUGGCAGGCGUUAUCCGGAUUUAUUGGGCGUAAAGGGAACGCAGGCGGUCUUUUAAGUCUGAUGUGAAAGCCUUCGGCUUAACCGGAGUAGUGCAUUGGAAACUGGGAGACUUGAGUGCAGAAGAGGAGAGUGGAACUCCAUGUGUAGCGGUGAAAUGCGUAGAUAUAUGGAAGAACACCAGUGGCGAAAGCGGCUCUCUGGUCUGUAACUGACGCUGAGGUUCGAAAGCGUGGGUAGCAAACAGGAUUAGAUACCCUGGUAGCUCGAUG
rnacentral:rRNA from 1 species